AUUUUCCCAGCAUGCCCUGUGGGAGCAAGGAAGGAACUGUUGUGGCAAAGUAAGGGGGCAGAGUUCUGUGACGGCGCACACCUGCCUUCUCUGUCCUAGUCAGUCUCUCAUUGCUACUUUCCCCUUAGCCCCUGUUGUAGACAAGAUGGGAAGAAAACUUUGGAGCAGGGUCACUAGCCCAAGGGUCCCUGGUUGUCUGUACACCAUGAUGCCACUCAGCUGCCUCUCCACACAAGGCAAUACAAAGACCCUCCGGUUCAAGAGCUCCAGAAUAAAACCCUGUCCGAGACAAACUGCUCCGGUUGGAACUGCUCCAUCCAGCUAGGGUGUAAACUUCGACAUGGCAAGUGUCCUUUUGGCCUCAGUUUCCUCCUAGAUAAAGCAGAGCUAACAAAAGAUCUUCCCUGUGGAAUAAUCAUGAAGAUUCAAGAGCCAGCAUACCUGCCAGGAGCAGGGUCUAUGUUUGCCCUCUUUGUGUCUGUCCACUUGCGCAAACAGAGAUGCUUCAGAGCUGGGUUGUAACUACCACCUUUCAGCUCCUGGCCCACGGAAAAGGGGCAGAAUAGGAAACCAGGCCCAGUCCUUACCCAGUUCAUCCUCCAUGGGGUCUGCCUGCCCUUGGUCACCUGCCUCAAGCACUUUAUAGGAAAUUCCCCUUUGCAGACCGAGGCGGCAGCGCGUGCGCGCCGGGAUGGGAGAAAAGACUGUUCACAAAGCCCAGA
rnacentral:lncRNA from 1 species